rnacentral:rRNA from 1 species
UACGUAGGGUGCGAGCGUUAAUCGGAAUUACUGGGCGUAAAGCGUGCGCAGGCGGUUUUGUAAGCCAGAUGUGAAAUCCCCGGGCUCAACCUGGGAAUGGCAUUUGGGACUGCAAGGCUGGAGUGCGGCAGAGGAGACUGGAAUUCCUGGUGUAGCAGUGAAAUGCGUAGAUAUCAGGAGGAACACCGGUGGCGAAGGCGGCUUCCUGGACCGACACUGACGCUGAGGCGCGAAAGCUAGGGGAGCAAACGGG